rnacentral:rRNA from 1 species
GAUGAACGCUGGCGGCGUGCCUAAUACAUGCAAGUCGAGCGAACGGACGCGAAGCUUGCGUCUCUGAUGUUAGCGGCAGACGGGUGAGUAACACGUGGAUAACCUACCUAUAAGACUGGUAUAACUUCGGAAAACCGUCGCUAAUACCGGAUAAUCUUUUGAACCACAUGGUGCAAAAGUAAAAGACGGUCUUUCGGGCACUUAUAGAGGCAUCCGCGCUGCAUUAGCUAGUUGGUAAGGUAACGGCUUACCAAGGCAACGAUGCAUAGCCGACCUGAGAGGCUGAUCGGCCACCCUGGAACGGAGACACGGUCCAGACGCCUACGGGAGGCAGCAGUAUGGAACCUUCCGCAAUGGGCGAAAGUCUGACGGAACAACGCGGCGUGUGUGAUGAAGGUCUUGGGAUCGUAAAGCUCUGUUAUUAGGUAUGAACAUAUGUGUAAGUAACUGUGCACAGCGUGACGGUACCGAAUCAGAAAGCCACGGCUAACUACGUG